rnacentral:rRNA from 1 species
UACAGAGGUCUCAAGCGUUGUUCGGAUUCAUUGGGCGUAAAGGGUGCGUAGGUGGCGCGGUAAGUCGGGUGUGAAAUUUCGGAGCUUAACUCCGAAACUGCAUUCGAUACUGCGGUGCUUGAGGACUGGAGAGGAGACUGGAAUUCAUGGUGUAGCAGUGAAAUGCGUAGAGAUCAUGAGGAAGACCAGUGGCGAAGGCGGGUCUCUGGACAGUUCCUGACACUGAGACACGAAGGCCAGGGAGCAAACGGG